rnacentral:rRNA from 1 species
CGGGGUGCCCAGGCGCGAAAACUUUGCAAUACACGAAAGUGUGACAGGGUCAUCCCGAGUGCCGACCGCUGAGGUUGGCUUUUACCCAGUCUAGAAAGCUGGGGGAAUAAGGAGAGGGCAAGUCUGGUGUCAGCCGCCGCGGUAAUACCAGCUCUCCGAGUGGUGUGGACGUUUAUUGGGCCUAAAGCAUCCGUAGCUGGCUGAACGAGUCCCCUGUUAAACCCACCGAUUUAAUCGUUGGUCUGCGGGGGAUACUGCUCGGCUAGGGGACGAGAGAGGCAGACGGUAUUCCCGGGGUAGGGGUGAAAUCCUAUAAUCCCGAGAAGACCACCAGUGGCGAAGGCUGUCUGCUAGAACGCGCCCGACGGUGAGGGAUGAAAGCUGGGGGAGCGAACCGGAUUAGAUACCCGGGUAGUCCCAGCUGUAAACGAUGCAGACUAGGUGUUUGGACGGCCACGUGCCGUUCUAGUGCCGCAGGGAAGCUGUUAAGUCUGCCGCCUGGGGAGUACGAUCGCAAGAUUGAAACUUAAAGGAAUUGGCGGGGGAGCAC